GUGUAACAACUCACCUGCCGAAUGAACUAGCCCUGAAAAUGGAUGGCGCUGAAGCGAACCACUUAUACUCAACCACUAGGCCAAGUGCCAAGGCCUAGUGAGUAGGAGGGCGUGAAGGUUGUUGUGCAGCUUAUACCGUGAGGUUAAGUGAAACGGCCUUUAGUGCAGAUCUUGGUGGUAGUAGC
rnacentral:rRNA from 1 species